rnacentral:rRNA from 1 species
GACGAACGCUGGCGGCGUGCUUAACACAUGCAAGUCGAACGGUAAGGCCCUUCGGGGUACACGAGUGGCGAACGGGUGAGUAACACGUGGGUGAUCUGCCCUGCACUUCGGGAUAAGCCUGGGAAACUGGGUCUAAUACCGGAUAGGACCACUGCCUGCAUGGGUGGUGGUGGAAAGCUUUUGCGGUGUGGGAUGGGCCCGCGGCCUAUCAGCUUGUUGGUGGGGUGAUGGCCUACCAAGGCGACGACGGGUAGCCGGCCUGAGAGGGUGACCGGCCACACUGGGAAGGAGAUACGGCCCAGACUCCUACGGGAGGCAGCAGUGGGGAAUAUUGCACAAUGGGCGCAAGCCUGAUGCAGCGACGCCGCGUAAGGGAUGACGGCCUUCGGGUUGUAAACCCCUUUCAGCACCGACGAAGCGCAAGUGACGGUAGGUGCAGAAGAAGGACCGGCCAACUACGUGCCAGCCGCCGCCGUAA